rnacentral:misc_RNA from 1 species
GCAAACUUGGUCAUUUAGAGGAAGUAAAAGUCGUAACAAGGUCUCCGUAGGUGAACCUGCGGAGGGAUCAUUACCGAGCGAGGGCCAGCCCAGUGUAUUCGUUGUUACCAGAUGGACUCGUCUCCUUCGGGAGGCUUUCUACCCGUUCAGUAAAGAGCAGGUCUGCGGUGAAAAUCUGCUCCUGUGGAAGGGCUGGCUAAUCGCAAGGAGCUUUUCCUUUCAGACAACUGAUCCUGCGGUGAGGACGCCACCCUACCGGUAGCAUGAUGCAUGGGCUGUAACCCUUUGUCUCCAACCCUUUGUCGUUCAAACCUUUGUUGCCUUGGGGGCGACCCGGCCGUCCGGCGCCCGGGACCCCCGGUGGACCACCCAACUCUUGCAUCUGUGCGUCGGAGCGAUACAUGAGAAUGAAUCAAAACUUUCAACAACGGAUCUCUUGGUUCUGGCAUCGAUGAAGAACGCAGC